GAUGAACGCUGGCGGCGUGCCUAAUACAUGCAAGUCGAGCGAACAGACGAGGAGCUUGCUCCUCUGACGUUAGCGGCGGACGGGUGAGUAACACGUGGAUAACCUACCUAUAAGACUGGGAUAACUUCGGGAAACCGGAGCUAAUACCGGAUAAUAUAUUGAACCGCAUGGUUCAAUAGUGAAAGACGGUUUUGCUGUCACUUAUAGAUGGAUCCGCGCCGCAUUAGCUAGUUGGUAAGGUAACGGCUUACCAAGGCAACGAUGCGUAGCCGACCUGAGAGGGUGAUCGGCCACACUGGAACUGAGACCAGGUCCAGACUCCUACGGGAGGCAGCAGUAGGGAAUCUUCCGCAAUGGGCGAAAGCCUGACGGAGCAACGCCGCGUGAGUGAUGAAGGUCUUCGGAUCGUAAAACUCUGUUAUUAGGGAAGAACAAAUGUGUAAGUAACUAUGCACGUCUUGACGGUACCUAAUCAGAAAGCCACGGCUAACUACGUG
rnacentral:rRNA from 1 species